GAUGAAGAACGCAGCGAAAUGCGAUACUUGGUGUGAAUUGCAGAAUCCCGUGAACCAUCGAGUCUUUGAACGCAAGUUGCGCCCGAAGCCACUAGGCCGAGGGCACGCCUGCCUGGGCGUCACACGCCGUUGCCCCCCCAUCUACUCCUUCGGGAUUGCGGGGGGGCGGAUGAUGGCCUCCCGUGCGCCUAGCCGCGCGGUUGGCAUAAAUACCAAGUCCUCGGCGACGCACGCCACGACAAUCGGUGGUUGCGAAACCUCGGUUGCCCGUCGUGUGCGUUCGUCGCGCAUCGAGGGCUCGAAAAAAUGCUCGGCUCCGGCUGGGCUUUCAACGCGACCCCAGGUCAGGCGGGGUUACCCGCUGAAUUUAAGCAUAUCAUAAGCGGAGGA
rnacentral:misc_RNA from 1 species